rnacentral:rRNA from 1 species
UACGUAGGGCGCAAGCGUUAUCCGGAAUUAUUGGGCGUAAAGAGCUCGUAGGCGGUUUGUCGCGUCUGCUGUGAAAAUCCGAGGCUCAACCUCGGACUUGCAGUGGGUACGGGCAGACUAGAGUGCGGUAGGGGAGACUGGAAUUCCUGGUGUAGCGGUGAAAUGCGCAGAUAUCAGGAGGAACACCGGUGGCGAAGGCGGGUCUCUGGGCCGUAACUGACGCUGAGGAGCGAAAGCAUGGGGAGCGAACAGG